GUCCCACAGUACUAAUGAGGGUUCCCGAAUUCCAUGAAAUUCACAUUUGGCCAGCCGCAAGAAUGGCUUUCCUGCCCAAAACAGUUCCACAGAUUUAAGCUGUGCAGCUGGUCUGUCUUCUCCUUCAAAGUUAGUAUGGGCCAUAAUCCUGGGGCAGGAGGCUGGAAAACAGCCCCCUC